AAUAGAUACCCAGGUAGUCCACGCCGUAAACGAUGAGAGCUAGACGUCGGGCGGCUUGCCGUUCGGUGUCGCAGUUAACGCAUUAAGCUCUCCGCCUGGGGAGUACGGCCGCAAGGUUAAACUCAAAGGAAUUGACGGGGGCCCGCACAAGCGGUGGAGCAUGUGGUUUAAUUCGAAGCAACGCGCAGAACCUUACCAUCCCUUGACUUGGACGUCGCGGGCCCAGAGAUGGGUCUUUCAGUUCGGCUGGACGUCACACAGGUGCUGCAUGGCUGUCGUCAGCUCGUGUCGUGAGACGUUGGGUUAAGUCCCGCAACGAGCGCAACCCUCGCCUUCAGUUGCCAGCAUUCAGUUGGGCACCCUGGAGGAACCGCCGGUGAUAAGCCGGAGGAAGGUGGGGAUGACGUCAAGUCCUCAUGGCCCUUACGGGAUGGGCUACACACGUGCUACAAUGGUGGUGACAGAGGGUAAUCCCUAAAAGCCAUCUCAGUUCGGAUCGGGGUCUGCAACUCGACCCCGUGAAGUUGGAAUCG
rnacentral:rRNA from 1 species